AGUGAACGCUGGCGGUAGGCCUAACACAUGCAAGUCGAACGGCAGCACAGUAAGAGCUUGCUCUUACGGGUGGCGAGUGGCGGACGGGUGAGGAAUACAUCGGAAUCUACUUUUUCGUGGGGGAUAACAUAGGGAAACUUACGCUAAUACCGCAUACGACCUACGGGUGAAAGCAGGGGAUCUUCGGACCUUGCGCGAUUGAAUGAGCCGAUGUCGGAUUAGCUAGUUGGCGGGGUAAAGGCCCACCAAGGCGACGAUCCGUAGCUGGUCUGAGAGGAUGAUCAGCCACACUGGAACUGAGACACGGUCCAGACUCCUACGGGGGGCAGCAGUGGGGAAUAUUGGACAAUGGGCGCAAGCCUGAUCCAGCCAUACCGCGUGGGUGAAGAAGGCCUUCGGGUUGUAAAGCCCUUUUGUUGGGAAAGAAAAGCAGCAGGUUAAUACCCCGCUGUUCUGACGGUACCCAAAGAAUAAGCACCGGCUAACUUCGUG
rnacentral:rRNA from 1 species